rnacentral:rRNA from 1 species
CGCGUAGGCGGAUCGGUAAGUCAGACGUGAAAUCCCGGGGCUCAACUCCGGGUCUGCGUUUGAAACUGUCGAUCUAGAGUGCAGGAGAGGAAGGCGGAAUUCCAGGUGUAGCGGUGGAAUGCGUAGAUAUCUGGAAGAACACCAGUGGCGAAGGCGGCCUUCUGGACUGACACUGACGCUGAGGCGCGAAAGCUAGGGGAGCAAACAGGAUUAGAUACCCUGGUAGUCCUAGCCGUAAACGAUGGGUACUAGGUGCUGGGCACUUCGACGUGUUCAGCGCCGCAGCUAACGCAUUAAGUACCCCGCCUGGGGAGUACGGCCGCAAGGCUGAA